CCCCUCUCAGGGUCGCAUCUGGAGAGUUUCCAGUAUUCUACCAGUAUCGGCUAUGGGAGAGAGAGUCAAGCAGAAGCUUAUCCAUUCCAUUCCUAGCUUGAGCAGUGGCUAGUAAGUGAAAGGCAAUAUGCUACAAGU